CUACGCCACCUCCAGUAGUAGAAACAACCAGCUGGUAUGAUUGAGUGGAAUCAGCCAACAGUAACACGGAAGCAGCAAUGUGAGAGUCAGUAGUGCAUGACCUUGAACGGUAAUAAUAGGAAGCUUCCGUUUAACACACAGGCCUAAGAUUACGUAGGUCUACAGCCCCAGUGGGAACUUCCCCUUUAAAAAGAUAUAUAAAGAGAACAGAGAUCAUAAGACAGUAUGAUCCUCACUAACAUAUGAAACAGACUUCAUAUGGAGAAUCAUCAUAGGUAAAUUUACUAUUGCACUAUACGCUUUUUGAUAGAGUAAAACAAUAUUUUGGGAACCGGAUAAUUGUGCUUAAGUACUUAUUGGGUCAUACUCUGAAGAAGCUGGUUGAAUCUUGUGAACCUGACUGAGUCUCCGAAAAACAGAGGUCUAACCACCUCUUGAUCACAUAGACAAAGCGGGCGUUCGCAUUUUUGACACCAGAAACCAGAGGUGAUUAGCAAUUCAAGGAAAAAUAGCCAAGUACCAGUUCCAAUAUAUUGAGUCCAUACACAGAGUUGGAAGUGUAUAGAGAUACUGGAAUUCGGAAUCUAGCGUCAUAGCUGUGAGAAUACCGAUUACGGGAAAGUGACCAAGGGGCUGAGCAUUUAAGGUCCUCCAGGGUGUCUGAAGCAAUGUCCAGUGCCUGGCCAGGGUGAAUUGACAUCUGCUGGGAGUGGACGGUGAACACAUAUGGCCUGGAACUCUUCCCAUCCUUCUGAACCACUACAGAGAGAUAUGGAGAGAGGAAGAGACGGAGAGAGCGAGAGAGAGAGAGUUACACAUACACACACUCUUAUUUCCAGUGGUGUAAAGUACUUAAGUAAAAAUACUUUAAAGUGCUACUUAAAUACUUUUUGGGGAAAAUCAAGAGAACAUCCCUGGUCAUCCCUACAUCCUCUGUUCUGGCGGACUCACUAAACACAAAUGCUUCGUUUGUAAAUUAUGUCUGAGUGUUGGAUUGUGCCCCUGGCUAUCUGUCAAUAAAAAAACUUGAAAUUUGUGCCAUUAAUAUAAGUAAUUU